GUCGAGUUGCCAGAGUGGUUAAUGGGUAUGACUCGAACGUCUUCGGACUUAUAGAUAUCAUAUGGUUUCGGCCGCGUAGGUUCAAAUCCUGCACUCGACG